AGGUCUUGGUACGCCUAACGUACAUCAAUGAGCUUGCAACUCAACAUGAACUUCACUACAAGACC
rnacentral:tRNA from 1 species